rnacentral:rRNA from 1 species
CCUACGGGUGGCAGCAGUGGGGAAUAUUGCACAAUGGGCGCAAGCCUGAUGCAGCCAUGCCGCGUGUGUGAAGAAGGCCUUCGGGUUGUAAAGCACUUUCAGCGGGGAGGAAGGCGGUGAGGUUAAUAACCUCAUCGAUUGACGUUACCCGCAGAAGAAGCACCGGCUAACUCCGUGCCAGCAGCCGCGGUAAUACGGAGGGUGCAAGCGUUAAUCGGAAUUACUGGGCGUAAAGCGGACGCAGGCGGUCUGUCAAGUCGGAUGUGAAAUCCCCGGGCUCAACCUGGGAACUGCAUUCGAAACUGGCAGGCUAGAGUCUUGUAGAGGGGGGUAGAAUUCCAGGUGUAGCGGUGAAAUCCGUAGAGGUCUGGAGGAAUACCGGUGGCGAAGGCGGCCCCCUGGACAAAGACUGACGCUCAGGUGCGAAAGCGUGGGGAGCAAACAGGAUUAGAUACCCGUGUAGUC